AUCCUUCCUUCCUUCCUUCUACUAUACCUCAUAGAAAGAAUUCAGCAGCCUGAGGUUCAAGGCUCUUUUGCUUGAUUUUGGGAAGUGAUUUAAUUUUACUGAGCCUCAGCCUCCUCUUUUGUAGCAUGGGGAUAAUGAAGAUACUGAUUUUCAGCUCCUCUCAGGGUGAUUGUGAAGCAAAUGAGAGGAUGAUGAUGAUGAUGAUGAUGAUGAUGAUGAUGAUAGCAUUCUGUAAACUAUUGAACUCUACAAAUAUUGGUGAUUUUAUGGUAAAUCAGAGAAGUUUGCAGCAGACUUUGAACUUUCUCGUUUAGAGGAUAACACUUCUCACAGGCACCCUGUCAUUUAUUCAGAGUCGAAAUAUGCUCUCAGUCACAUGAGAGGCUAGUUUCUUCUUGUAUUUCCUUCUAUUUUAAGCAUUCAACUUUUCUCUUCAGCAUUGUUUGUAGGUGGGCAAAUCUUAACUGAGUUUCUGUUCCUCAAAUUGAUGUCUUCAUUUGCAUUAGGGGGCAGGGUUGCACAAGCUUAUUUUAUUAUCGUCCAGCCUUUCAUAAAUCUUUGCCGAGAGACAACAGGGGGUUGUUGAGAGAAGUCUUGGUUGGUUGUUCGGAGCCCGGGUUGGAGCCGAGCCCUGAUGCUUGGCAGCCGUGUGACCUUGGGUUUUCUCUGUGUCCGUGUGAGGAGAGCAACGGCUCACCCCGAAAUGGAAUGCCCGACGUCUCAGUUCUGGAGGCUGGGAGCCGGCUGAUUUGGUUACUAGUGACAGAUCUCUUCUGGCUUGUACCUUCUUGCUGUGUCCUCACAUGAACUCCUUCAUGCUGCUGGGUCACUGCCACUUCUGUCUUCCUCCAAAAUACCACCUCGUACCUAGAGCACGGCACCACUAAGCACGGAUUCUGGUGUGGAUGUGUAAAGAGGUGAUGCCUGGAACAGUGACAGCCUUUUGCGGACCAUUAGAGGAGCUCUCCAAAGGAUAAGCCAGCAUACUAAGAAUGCACUAUUCACAAUAGUCAAGAUGUGGGAACUACCGAAAAGUUCACGAACAGAUGAAUGAAUGGAGAAAAUGUGACAUAUACAUACAAUGGGAUAUUACUCAGCCUUCAAGGACAUUCUGCAAGAUGUGACAAUCCCGGGUGAAACUUGAGGACAUCAUACUAAGUGAAAGAAGCCAGAAAAAACAGAAAGGUAAAUAAUGCGUGAGGUAUCUAAAAUAGUCAAACUCAUAAAAUCAAAGAGUAGAAUGGUGGUUACCAGGGCCUGGGGGAAAGGGGAAAUAGGGAGUUAUUAAUCAAUGGGCAGAAAGUUUCAGCCGAGCAAGAUGAGUAAUUUUGAGAGAUCUGCUGUAUCACCUUGUACUUACGGUCAACAAUAACGAAUUAUGCACUUAAAAUUUUUUUGAGAGGGUAGGUCUCAUGUUAGGUGUUCUUACCACAUUAAUUAAAAAAUAAAUAAACCUUUGCUCUUAUAAGCCCCUAGAAGAGAAUGAAAAGACAAGCCACAGAUAGGGAUACAAUAUUUUCAAGUCUUAUAUCAAAUAAAGGUCUUAUAUACAGACUAUAUACCAAAUAUCAAAAUUCAAUAAUUGUAACCUAAUUGUUUGAAUGGGUGAAAAAUGUGAACAGAUACUUUACCCUCAAAGAUAUAGGGAUGGCAAAUAAACACAUUAAAAGAUGCUCAAUAUCAUUCGUCGUUAGGGAAAUCCAAACUAAAACCACCCUGAGAUACCACUACAUAUUCAUCCCAAUGGCAACACAGGUGAAUCACUGAAGGAUAGGAGCCAGCCACAAAAGUUCAUACUAUAGGAUUCUAAGUUUUAUAAAAUCCUAGAAAAGCAAAUUUAUCUGUAGUGACAAGAAACUGUCUACUCGGUUGAGUAGGGUGGGGAGAAGUGACAGGGAGGAAUAUAAAGAUUCGGAGGCGAGGGAUAUGUUCAUUAUCGAUUGCUGCUCAUGGUGGCGUAUAUGUUCGUAUAUGCAUCAUUCAUGUAUACAUGUGUCAACACUAACCAAGUUGCACACUUUAUACAAAGCUUACUAUACCACAAUUAUAACUCAGUAAAUUCUAUCUUUAGGAAAUAAUCACAGAUAUUUAGGAAAUCAUCUUUAAAAAAUAAUCACCAUAAAAAUGUAUUUAUAAGGAUAUUCAUUGCAGAAAUAUUUACAGUAGCAUAGAAACUCAGAGGUAGAUUCAAAGCCCAGUGAUAGAAAGAUGUAAAUUGUUCUUUUACAUUAUAAAAAUAAGUAUUAUACAUUUAUAUAAUGUGAGAUUUGUGAUGGAAUUUUACUCACAUGAGGAAAGGCAUGCAGUAUGCUACUGAAGAAAGCAGGAUACAAAAUCUGGAAAUAUAAUCACAAUUUAACUACCGUCUCCCCCUCACACCCACUAGGAGAUAACAUUCCUGAGGGAGAUGCACUAAAAUUAUCUGAGUGGUGGUAUUAUGGACGUUCUUUUCCCUUUUAUUUUUUAAUUUUUUUACUUAUUUUACUUAAUAAGGUAAAAAUUAUUUUACCUCCGUAUUUUCCAAACUUUUUUAUAAUAACCACAAUCAACUUUUUUACCCAGAAAAUAACAUCUUUUAAAAAAUAUAAUUUAUGGUCAAGUUAGCUAAUAUACAGAGUAUACCGUGUGCUCUUGGCUUCGGAUUUCCUUGAUUCGUCACUUACACAAAACAUCUAGUGCUCAUCCUAACAAGGGCGCUCCUCAAUGCCCAUCCCCCAUUUUCCUUGCCCCCACGCCCCCC